rnacentral:rRNA from 1 species
AGGUAAGCUACUAAGAGCGAAUGGUGGAUGCCUUGACUGGUAAAGGCGAUGAAGGACGUACUAGACUGCGAUAAGCUACGGGGAGCUGUCAAGAAGCUUUGAUCCGUAGAUUUCCGAAUGGGGCAACCCAAUGUAUAGAGAUAUACAUUACCUAUAUAGGAGCGAACGAGGGGAAUUGAAACAUCUUAGUACCCUCAGGAAAAGAAAUCAAUAGAGAUUGCGUCAGUAGCGGCGAGCGAAAGCGCAAGAGGGCAAACCCAGUGCUUGCACUGGGGGUUGUAGGACUGCAAUGUGCAAGAGGUGAGUUUAGCAGAACAUUCUGGAAAGUAUAGCCAUAGAGGGUGAUAGUCCCGUAUGCGAAAAACAAACCUUAGCUAGCAGUAUCCUGAGUAGGGCGGGACACGAGAAAUCCUGUCUGAAGCUGGGUCGACCACGAUCCAACCCUAAAUACUAAUACCAGAUCGAUAGUGCACAAGUACCGUGAGGGAAAGGUGAAAAGAACUGAGGUGAUCAGAGUGAAAUAGAACCUGAAACCAUUUGCUUACAAUCAUUCAGAGCCCUAUGUAGCAAUACAGGGUGAUGGACUGCCUUUUGCAUAAUGAGCCUGCGAGUUGUGGUGUCUGGCAAGGUUAAGCAAACGCGAAGCCGUAGCGAAAGCGAGUCUGAAUAGGGCGCUUAGUCAGAUGCUGCAGACCCGAAACGAAGUGAUCUAUCCAUGAGCAAGUUGAAGCUAGUGUAAGAACUAGUGGAGGACUGAACCCAUAGGCGUUGAAAAGCCCCGGGAUGACUUGUGGAUAGGGGUGAAAGGCCAAUCAAACUUCGUGAUAGCUGGUUCUCUCCGAAAUAUAUUUAGGUAUAGCGUUGUGUCGUAAUAUAAGGGGGUAGAGCACUGAAUGGGCUAGGGCAUACACCAAUGUACCAAACCCUAUCAAACUCCGAAUACCUUAUAUGUAAUCACAGCAGUCAGGCGGCGAGUGAUAAAAUCCGUCGUCAAGAGGGAAACAACCCAGACUACCAGCUAAGGUCCCUAAAUCUUACUUAAGUGGAAAACGAUGUGAAGUUACUUAAACAACCAGGAGGUUGGCUUAGAAGCAGCCAUCCUUUAAAGAAAGCGUAAUAGCUCACUGGUCUAGUGAUUUUGCGCGGAAAAUAUAACGGGGCUAAAGUAAGUACCGAAGCUGUAGACUUGCGCACAACUUAGAUUAUUUAAGUUUAGAAUAUGAGAAACUAAGUUAUAUGUUUAGUUAUAUUUUUACUGAUUUUUAUAGAGUAAAGAUAGAAAUAAAACUUAGUAAAAUCAGUAAAAAUAUUCUUAGACUAAAGUUAAGUAGUUUAAGUUGUGUGCAAGUGGUAGGAGAGCGUUCUAUUUGCGUCGAAGGUAUACCGGUAAGGAGUGCUGGAGCGAAUAGAAGUGAGCAUGCAGGCAUGAGUAGCGAUAAUUAAUGUGAGAAUCAUUAACGCCGUAAACCCAAGGUUUCCUACGCGAUGCUCGUCAUCGUAGGGUUAGUCGGGUCCUAAGUCGAGUCCGAAAGGGGUAGACGAUGGCAAAUUGGUUAAUAUUCCAAUACCAACAUUAGUGUGCGAUGGAAGGACGCUUAGGGCUAAGGGGGCUAGCGGAUGGAAGUGCUAGUCUAAGGUCGUAGGAGGUUAUACAGGCAAAUCCGUAUAACAAUACUCCGAGAACUGAAAGGCUUUUUGAAGUCUUCGGAUGGAUAGAAGAACCCCUGAUGCCAUCGAGCCAAGAAAAGUUUCUAAGUUUAGCUAAUGUUGCCCGUACCGUAAACCGACACAGGUGGGUGGGAUGAGUAUUCUAAGGCGCGUGGAAGAACUCUCUUUAAGGAACUCUGCAAAAUAGCACCGUAUCUUCGGUAUAAGGUGUGGUUCGCUUCGUAUUAGGAUUUACUCCGAAAGCGAAGAAACUUACAACAAAGAGUCCCUCCCGACUGUUUACCAAAAACACAGCACUCUGCUAACUCGUAAGAGGAUGUAUAGGGUGUGACGCCUGCCCGGUGCUCGAAGGUUAAUUGAUGGGGUUAGCAUUAGCGAAGCUCUUGAUCGAAGCCCGAGUAAACGGCGGCCGUAACUAUAACGGUCCUAAGGUAGCGAAAUUCCUUGUCGGUUAAAUACCGACCUGCAUGAAUGGCGUAACGAGAUGGGAGCUGUCUCAAAGAGGGAUCCAGUGAAAUUGUAGUGGAGGUGAAAAUUCCUCCUACCCGCGGCAAGACGGAAAGACCCCGUGGACCUUUACUACAGCUUGACACUGCUAUUUGGAUAAGAAUGUGCAGGAUAGGUGGGAGGCUUUGAGUAUAUGACGCCAGUUGUAUAUGAGCCAUUGUUGAGAUACCACUCUUUCUUAUUUGGGUAGCUAACCAGCUUGAGUUAUCCUCAAGUGGGACAAUGUCUGGUGGGUAGUUUGACUGGGGCGGUCGCCUCCCAAAUAAUAACGGAGGCUUACAAAGGUUGGCUCAGAACGGUUGGAAAUCGUUCGUAGAGUAUAAAGGUAUAAGCCAGCUUAACUGCAAGACAUACAAGUCAAGCAGAGACGAAAGUCGGUCUUAGUGAUCCGGUGGUUCUGUGUGGAAGGGCCAUCGCUCAAAGGAUAAAAGGUACCCCGGGGAUAACAGGCUGAUCUCCCCCAAGAGCUC